rnacentral:tRNA from 1 species
GGGCCUAUGGCGGAACUGGUAGACGCGUUAGACUUAGGAUCUAAUGAGGAGACUCGUACAGGUUCAAGUCCUGCUAGGCCCACCA